CCCUGACCCAGCAGCUCUGGGACAGGAGACCAGCAGGUUUCCCAGGUGUUCCCUACCCCUACUCAGGACAGAAUACAGACCACUCAACAUGGACUUUGGGCUCAGCUGGAUUUUCCUUGUUGCUCUUUUAAGAGGUGUCCAGUGUGAGGUGCAGCUGGUGGAGUCUGGGGGAGGCUUGGUGAAGCCUGGAGGUUCCCUCAAACUCUCCUGCCUGGCUUCUGGAUUCACCUUCAGUAGCAAUGAUAUGACCUGGGUCCGCCAGGCUCCAGGGAAGGGUCUGGAGUGGGUCGCAUACAUUAGGUAUGAUGGUGGUAGCAUAUACUAUGCCAACUCGGUGAAGGGCCGAUUCACCAUCUCCAGAGACAAUGGCAAGAACACACUCUACCUGCAAAUGAACAACCUGAGAGUCGAGGACACGGCCUUGUAUUACUGUGCAAGUGACACAGUGAAGGGAACUCAGUGUGAGCCCAGACAUAAACUUCUCUGUGGGAGACACAAGGGUUGGCUAGAAGGGAGCAUUCAGGACACCAGGGGGUGA